GCCGGACGCGGUGGCGCGCGCCUGUAGUCCCAGCUACUCGGGAGGCUGAGAUGGGAGGAUCGCUUGAGCCCAGGAGUUCUGGGUUGCAGUGCGCUAUGCCGAUCGGGUGUCCGCACUAAGUUCGGCAUCAAUAUGGUGACCUCCCGGGAGCGGGGGACCACCAGGUUGCCUAAGGAGGGGUGAACCGGCCCAGGUCGGAAACGGAGCAGGUCAAAACUCCCGUGCUGAUCAGUAGUGGGAUCACGCCUGUGAAUAGCCACUGCACUCCAGCCUGGGCAACAUAGCGAGACCCCGUCUCU
rnacentral:SRP_RNA from 1 species